CUCGCUUUUCCUGCCCUCUCCUCCUCUCCCCUCUCCUGCUCUCCCCCCUCUCCUGCCCCUCACCCCACGUGAAGCGGAAUAUAAAGGGGGGUGUGAGACUAGAGGGAAAGUGAAUGGCGAAGGACUGAGGGGGGUGGUCCCCCUUCGGGUCCCCGGCCGCCCUGUUCACCCUCGUUCAUCCUCCCUUUCCGAAGCUCGCCCGCGAAGGCAGGAGGAGCUGCCGGCGCCUUCGGCUGAGGAGGAGGAGGAGGAGGAGGAGGAGAAGAAGGAGGACUCGCGCCGGGAGGAGCGUCAGGUCCCGUUUUCCUCUCCGGCGUCUCGUCUCGAAUACAAAGAUUACGGUGCAGAAGGAAAUUGCACUCGCCUCCUCCGCCCCCCGGUACCCGACACAAUGCACCAGCCGCCCGAGGCCGCCGCCGCGGCAGCCGCCGCAGACAUUAGUGCUAGGAAGAUGGCGCACCCGGCAAUGUUCCCUCGAAGGGGCAGCGGUGGUGGCAGCGCCUCUGCUCUCAGUGCAGCAGGUACCGGCGUCGGGAGUACUGCCACAGCCUCCGAGGAUUUUCCGCCGCCCUCGCUUCUCCAGCCGCCGCCUCCUGCAGCAUCUUCCUCGUCGGGACCACAGCCUCCGCCUCCACAAAGCCUGAACCUCCUUCCGCAGGCUCAGCUGCAGGCACAGCCUCUUGCGCCAGGCGGAACUCAAAUGAAAAAGAAAAGUGGCUUCCAGAUAACUAGCGUCACUCCGGCUCAGAUCUCCGCCAGUAUCAGCUCCAACAACAGUAUCGCGGAGGACACUGAGAGCUAUGAUGAUCUGGAUGAAUCUCACACGGAAGACCUCUCUUCCUCCGAGAUCCUUGAUGUAUCACUAUCCAGGGCUACUGACUUAGGGGAGCCUGAACGCAGCUCCUCAGAAGAGACUCUGAAUAACUUCCAGGAAGCCGAGACACCUGGGGCAGUCUCUCCUAAUCAGCCCCACCUUCCUCAACCUCAUUUGCCUCACCUUCCCCAACAGAAUGUUGUGAUCAAUGGGAAUGCUCAUCCACACCACCUCCAUCACCAUCACAUUCAUCAUGGGCACCACCUCCACCAUGGGCACCACCAUCCAUCCCAUGCUGCUGUGGCCAGUGCAUCCAUUCCUGGAGGACCACCCUCAAGCCCAGUAUCCAGAAAACUCUCCACAACUGGAAGCUCUGAUGGUGUUGCACCAGUUGCACCAGCUUCUGCUGUAUCAUCGAGCGUCUCACCUGCAUCUGUAAUGACUAAUAUCCGGGCUCCUAGCACUGCAGGCGGGAUAGGUAUAAAUUCUGUUGCUGGCGCUAAUACAGUGAAUAAUGUCAGUGUUGCUGCUGUGGGUAGUUUCAGUCCUAAUGUGACAAGCGGUAUGCUGGGUAGUGCUAAUAUAAGUGCAAGCAAUAUUCCUAGUGCUGCUAGUGUGAGUGUUGGGCCUGGAGUUCCUAGUGGUGUAAAUGUGAGUAUCUUGAGUGGCAUGGGCAAUGGGACUGUGUCUUCUGCCACGGCUGUUAACAGUGUCCCCGGUGCAGCCCCGGGGAUGACUGUGGGAUUGGUUUCAAGUCAGCAGCAACAACCAACAGUUAACACGUCAAGGUUCAGAGUUGUGAAGUUAGAUUCUAGUUCGGAGCCUUUUAAAAAAGGCAGAUGGACCUGCACUGAGUUCUAUGAAAAAGAAAAUACUGUACCUGCUACUGAAGGCGUGGCGAUCAAUAAGGUGGUGGAGACUGUAAAACAAAACCCGGUGGAAGUAUCUUCUGAGAGAGAGAGCACGAGUGGGAGCUCUGUGAGCAGUAGUGUCAGCACUCUGAGUCACUACACGGAGAGUGUAGGAAGUGGAGAGAUGGGAACCCCUACAGCGGGGGCACAGCAGCAGCCGCUGCAGGUACCAGCUCAGCAAGGGGUAGGCCUCCAACCCAUGGAUUUCAGUAGCACUGGGCCCCCGAGUUUUUCUCAGUCACAGAUGUCGCAAGUACAAUUACAGUCUCAAGAACUGAGUUAUCAGCAAAAGCAAGGUCUUCAGCCAGUACCUCUGCAAGCCACCAUUAAUGCUGCAACUAGUAUCCAGCCAGCACCUGUGAAUGUGGUUGGUGUAACUUCAGCUUUAGGUCAGCAACCUUCCAUUUCUAGUCUGGCUCAACCCCAACUGCCAUAUUCCCAGGCGGCUCCCCCAGUGCAAACUCCUCUUCCAGGGGCAGCACCGCAGCAGUUGCAAUAUGGACAACACCAAGCAAUGGUUUCUACGCAGUUGGCCCCGGGCCAUGGUCAACCGGUGACUCAGAAUCCUACUUCAGAGUUUGUGCAACAGCAGCCGAUCCUUCAGACAGCAAUGUCCUCUGGCCAGCCCAGUUCUGCAGGAGUGGGAGCAGGAACAACAGUGAUUCCUGUGGCUCAGCCCCAGGGUGUCCAGCUGCCAGUGCAGCCCACAGCAGUCCAAGCACAGCCUGCAGGGGCAGCGGGCCAACCUGUUGGCCAGGCUCCGACAGCAGUGUCUGCUGUACCUGCUGGCAGUCAAAUUGCAAAUAUUGGUCAACAGGCAAACAUACCUGCAGCAGUGCAGCAGUCCUCUGCCCAAGUUACACCUUCAGUUAUUCAGCAAGGUGCUCCUCCAUCUUCACAAGUAGUUCCACCUGCUCAAACUGGGAUUCUUCAUCAGGGAGUUCAAACUAGCGCUCCAAGCCUUCCUCAACAAUUGGUUAUUACACCCCAGAGUACCUUGUUAACUGUGCCUCCCCAGCAAGGAGUAGAACCAGUAGCUCAAGGAGUUGUUUCACAGCAGUUGCCUGCAGUUAGUCCUUUGCCCUCUGCUAGUAGUAUUUCUGUUACAAAUCAGGUUAGUUCAACUGGUCCUUCUGGAAUGCCUUCUGCCCCAACAAACUUGGUUCCACCACAGAAUAUAGCACAAACCCCUGCCACUCAAAAUGGUAAUUUGGUUCAAUGUGUUAGCCAACCUCCCUUGAUAGCAACUAAUAUAAAUUUGCCCUUGGCACAGCAGAUACCACUAAGUUCUACUCAGUUCUCUGCACAAUCGUUAGCUCAGGCCAUUGGAAGCCAAAUUGAAGAUGCCAGGCGUCCAGCGGAGCCCUCAUUAGUUGGCUUACCUCAGACUAUCAGUGGUGACAGUGGGGGAAUGUCGGCAGUUUCAGAUGGGAGUGGCAGCAGCCUAGCAGCCUCUGCUUCUCUUUUCCCGUUGAAGGUGCUACCGCUGACGACACCCCUGGUGGAUGGUGAAGAUGAGAGCUUUUGCUAUAUUCCAAACUGGCUGCCAGAGCCAGGAACAAGUGAAGGCAUAAAACCCUAACUUUGGUUGAUUGCUACCUUCUUAGUGCUGAGAUAAAACCCUUGUUGGUUGGUUGAUAGAGAUCAAGAGAGCACAAGCCUCGUUCCACUAACAGCUCUCUAUUUCAGUGCUUCUCUCCUACCAGAGGUGCAAGGAGUGAUCCUAGAACCACAGAUUCAGCCAAGACCACGGAGAGCUUUUGACGUCAGGGGUCCACUUUCUCUACUGAACCCUUGGAGACAGAAUAUCCAGCUUCUGGAGAGAGUGGGAAAGGAUAAUAAACAAGUGGGUGCUUUCCAUUAUUUACUUGGGUUUAUUUAUCGAUUGGAGUGUCCUUCCAUUGCCCAUUCUAUUAGUAAACUCCUUGGGUUCAUGUAAGAACCAGGUGGGGAUGCAGUUUGUCUUUCUAAGAGUGCUAACUAGUACCCAUUCAAAAAGAAACCUGAAAUUCAUUAAAUUUUCUCUCCAGACAGUUAAAGCAGUGGAUGAUUUGGGCAUGUCAUUUGGUAAAUACCUAUGUAGUCCACAGGAAUUUUAAAAAGGAAAUAUUUACCUGUUUUGGCCUUUAUGGUAUUAGUGGACUUUUAAAGUACUCUUAUAUUUCUGUAAUUUAAUACUUUUUCAUUUUUUGGGCAAACAAGACAUCUGGUCUGUUAAUUUAUGUGAUCAGAUGUCCAGGUAUUAUACUACACUGUUAGAGAACUUUUUGGUCCUUUUCCUACCCCGAAUGUUAGGACUUCAUGUUUGAUAUGUUAAGAGAUAUAAUGAUUGUACCAUCAUGAUUUUACUGUCAAAUCUAGGCUUCAUUCUUUUAUAGAAUAAAUAUGUAUGAAUAUGUUUCAGGAUAUAAUAAUCCUGAAAGCUAUAUUUAAUAUACUCAAAAGUCAUUUUUCUAGUCCCUAGGGGAUAAUAUUUGUGGCAAAAGAGCCUAUCCCCUAGAUUUUCCCUAUGGUAUUAAGAUUGUUUGCUCUUAGUUUCUCUGAUGCUGAGGGUAGGAUUUGAUUCCAGGAAGUUCUUAUCAUCUGCAGUGGGUAGAAUGUAAACUUGGUGCCUUUGGCAAGUUUUCAUUUUUCCUUGGUGGAUUCCUUCUGUGACUCCAGGUAUCUUGAUAAUGGGAGACCGGUUUAUUCUCUAAUUGCCCAGAUUUCUUUCAACUGGUAAAACAUCAUACUUCUUCAGCAAAAGGAAUUCUUCUAGCAGAGCCUUCAUGGAUGAUAUCUGUCACACAUGCCAGCAUCUGCAGUGGAAGGCAGUGGUGAAUGGAUCCAUGCAGUAUGUCUAGAAGACACAAGAAUGAGCCAGCCACCUGAUCUUGUCAUUUAUAAACUUUUAAGAUUUACUCUGGUUUAUUUACUCUUGGUCUGAACAUGGAAAGGCUCAAGUAAUCUUUUCAUAUUGGAAUUUUACAUGGCCAUGAAAAUAUUUCUUUCUAUUCAGAAGACUGAAAUAGAGGAAGCUUGAGAGACUUCUUUAAAGCAGCUCUCUGUAUCUGUUCCAUUAAAAGAAUUUAUGACAUUGAAAAUCACCUUGAUAAAGUAGGCAAGUAGUAUAGGAAGUCCAGAGAACACAAAGAAAUGGUUUUUUGUUAACUUACACUGAAAAAAGCUGGUAAAUCAAAGGUGAACUUCUUAAUUAUUCCAAAAGUAUUUUUAAUAGUAGCCUGUGCUCUUUAGCUCAUCUUUUGCUGAUCUUGAGCCUUAUUCUUACUCUAUUUCUCAAAUCAACAAAAUCUAGUAUAGAAACACAAGAGACAUUUUAAAAGUAGCUUGGUCUGUCUUUUGAAGUCAUUAAUACCUGUUAUUGUUGAGGUAUUGUUCCACACUAAAGGCACAUUAAGAUUUGAAUGAUAGUGUCACAUAGCAGCAGUGAAUGUAGCAUUGAGGAUCAGUAGCAUUAGAAGAAGCUAAUGGGUGUAACUGAAUGUUAUGAAUUAGUUACCCAAACUCUCAAUAAUUGAUUGAAGCAGUUACCAAAAUGUUUUAUUUCUGUCUUUUAUAUCUUUUAACUGGUCAGUCAAAAGCUAUUAAACAAACUUUUCAAAGUAAUCUAAUGCUGCCAGUUUGUUUUAUUUUGAUACAAAUUUUAAGAAUGAAAUCAAUAAAUUACUAAUAUGACCGCAAGUAAGAUGUCUUAAAAAUCUCAAAGAUUUUUAGAAGCCACAUUUGCUAAAGUUCCUUACUUUUUCUUGGCUGUCCGCGAGAAAUACCUUUUCCUUAUCAAUUUAAAAAUUUUCUUAGUACUUAAAAGGAAGUUUAAAAGUUUAGUUUGAACUAAAAUUUUCCUGGAGAGUUCUGAAUUACAGCUUUUCAUUUCUGAUUCCUGUUAAAUGUUUAUUGAUUUACAAAUGAAAAAACAGCUGCCCAAAAUGUUAGAAAGAACUUGGGGAACUGAAAGUGAGAUUUACUUAGAAAUUAAGUUGGUUGAGUUCUUUGAACCACAGAACAAAACCAUUUUAUGGCCUGUGAGAUUAUUAGCUUUUUGUUUUAGCUUUGAAGAUGAAAAGUGAGUUAAUCUUUUAAUCUCAUGCUUUGAUGAAAUUUUAGCGUUGUUCUUUUAAAGUGUACAAAGGAAAUGUAAGUGCAUUUCUAUUUACCUCAUGCCACUAAAGCUAUUUAAAAGUGAAACAUUUUUGUAUAUUAUUGUGAACUGAUUUGUUUAUUUAAACUUUUAUUUUGAUGCAUUUUACUUUCAGUUUUUUUAUAUUUCGUGUCACAAUAUGCAUUUUUCGAUGUUUAUUUUAU